rnacentral:lncRNA from 1 species
CUGAAACAGGCUGUUUUUAAUCCAUCCUUUGAUAUGAUUCGGUCUAAUCGAUGUCUUUAAUUAAUUAAGCUUUAAUUAAGAGCAGGACAGUCAGAGUUUCGAUUGGUCUGACCGCAGUAAUCGCCAUGGUGACGGGGUGAUAAAUGAGGCCUGUGUGAUAUGAAGCAUCUCGACCAAUCAGAAGCAGCUUUUAUAAACCUUAUAAACUCCAGCCCGGCCCGGUCCCGAUCACCGGGUUCACCUCGGGAUCCAGACCAGAACCCCACUCAGCCCACCGACCGGUCCUUCACACGUUACAAUCUCCAUGGCAACGUGCAGGUUUCCUUAGCAACUGCCUCCUCACAGUCCCUCCUGCGGCAUGAUGGGAGUGAGGAGACUGGUCGCGCGACAGUCGGACAGAGUGGGCAGGUGUCUGUCUCUGACCUCCCCAAGGUCAUCUCUCCAUCUCUCUCUCUCACUCUCUCUCUCUCUCCAUCUCUCUCUCUCACUCUCUCUCUCUCUCCAUCUCUCUCUCUCACUCUCUCUCUCUACAUCUCUCUCUCUCUCCAUCUCUCUGUAUCUCUCUCUCUCUGUCUCUCUCUCUGUCUCUCUCUCCCUCCAUCUCUCUAUCUCUCUGUCUCUCCAUCUCUCUAUUUUACUUCAUCUCUAUCUCUCUCCAUCUCUCUCUUUCUCUCUCUCUGUAUCUCUCCCUCCAUCUCUCUCUCUCUGUCUCUCCAUCUCUCUAUUUCACUCAAUCUUUCUAUCUCUGUAUCUCUCCCUCCAUCUCUCUCUCUUUGUAUCACUCUCUCCAUCUCUCUCUAUCUUUAUUUCUUUCUCUCUAUCUUUCCUUCCUUAUAUAUCAAUGUCUCUCUCUCUCCAUAUAUACACAUAUCCUUUUCUCUUUCUCUCUAUUUGCCUCUCUCUCUGUAUCUUUAUUUUCAUCACUCUCUCUUUUCUCUAUACACCUCUCUUUCUGUCUCUCGCUUGCUCUCUCACUCUAUCUAUCUUUGCUCUAUGUUAAUGUCUCUCCUUCUCCAUAUAUACAU